rnacentral:rRNA from 1 species
CCUACGGGUGGCAGCAGUGGGGAAUAUUGCACAAUGGGGGAAACCCUGAUGCAGCGACGCCGCGGGAGUGAAGAAGUAUUUCGGUAUGUAAAGCUCUAUCAGCAGGAACGAGACAAGACGGUACCUGACUAAGAAGCCCCGGCUAACUACGUGACAGCAGGCGCGGUAAGACGUAGGGGGCAAGCGUUAUCCGGAAUCACUGGGUGGAAAGGGAGCGUAGACGGCUGUGCAAGCCUGAAGUGAAAGGCGGGGGCCCAACCCCUGGACUGCUUUGGGAACUGUACGGCUGGAGUGCAGGAGAGGUAAGUGGAAUUCCUAGUGUAGCGGUGAAAUGCGUAGAUAUUAGGAGGAACACCAGUGGCGAAGGCGGCUUACUGGACUGUAACUGACGUUGAGGCUCGAAAGCGUGGGGAGCAAACAGGAUUAGAUACCCGGGUAGUC